rnacentral:misc_RNA from 1 species
GUUUGGACAAGCCUCCUUCACUGUUCCGUAGAACAGCUCUAAAGAUGGGAUUGAAAGAUAUUCCUGGCAUCCGAAUACGUAAGUAGCUCGGAAUUUUUGAUCUUACGUUUAAAGAGAUUAUAUGAUGUUAGAGGACAGUAGUAGCAUCCACAGUUCUGGUGAACUGAACGUGCAUUGAUUUGGCGUCAGGAAAAAACAUUAGUUCCGCUGAUUAGCGCCUAAUGGAA